rnacentral:rRNA from 1 species
UACACUCCUACGGGAGGCAGCAGUGGGGAAUUUUGGACAAUGGGCGAAAGCCUGAUCCAGCAAUGCCGCGUGCAGGAUGAAGGCCUUCGGGUUGUAAACUGCUUUUGUACGGAACGAAAAAGCUCCUUCUAAUACAGGGGGCCCAUGACGGUACCGUAAGAAUAAGCACCGGCUAACUACGUGCCAGCAGCCGCGGUAAUACGUAGGGUGCGAGCGUUAAUCGGAAUUACUGGGCGUAAAGCGUGCGCAGGCGGUUAUGUAAGACAGAUGUGAAAUCCCCGGGCUCAACCUGGGAACUGCAUUUGUGACUGCAUGGCUAGAGUACGGUAGAGGGGGAUGGAAUUCCGCGUGUAGCAGUGAAAUGCGUAGAUAUGCGGAGGAACACCGAUGGCGAAGGCAAUCCCCUGGACCUGUACUGACGCUCAUGCACGAAAGCGUGGGGAGCAAACAGGAUUAGAAACCCUUGUAGUCCCAUGA